rnacentral:lncRNA from 1 species
CUGUACGUAGAGGUCGAUCUGUGAGCGCGGGUAGAGCUCGGUGAGGAUGGCGGCCUCGAAGGUCUGUUUGAGAUGCAGCGCCAUCUCGGCUGACUUCCGGUCCCCGUGCGGCCGCCGCUUCCGCUCGGCGGUGCUGAAGGUGGCCAUGCUGUACUGGCAGUUCAGCACCGCCCGGUCGGACAGCGCCUUGCUGCGGGGGCCGCGCGUCUCGUGCGGCCCGUACACCACGGCCAGCGCCUUGGUGUUGCCCUGCUCGAUGUAGGCCGAGCCGUCCGCCUGCGCGAACACCCCCAUCCGGGCCCGCACCUUCCGCAGCUCCGUAGCGCGGCGCCCGUCCGCGCGGUACCCCUCGUCCGACAGCAGCUCCAGAGCCGCCAUCGCGAUCCCGGCGUGCC